CUUUGAAGAAGAAGGAGCAGUGUUGAGAAGAACUACCCAUGAGAAAUCACCAAGAAGUAGAAGAAUAAGAGGUUUACUUCAAGCAAAAAACAAAGCUGCUGGGAAGCCUACACAUUCAUAUUUCCAAAUAAGCAAGAAAAUUUGGACAAGCAACCCUUCCACUUCAUCAAGAAACAUCAUGAUUCCUUCCCCAUGGAACUGAAGUUGAAACUUUCAUAAGCCUUUAUUUGUAUUCUCCCAGACCUCUAUUUCAAUUUCGAUAAUCUGGUUUAAUACACAGUACACAGAAAAUGUUAUGGAGUUGGUUUUUUUCACUUAUUGGCUACAAAAUUGUACUGUUCCCUUUUCCUGUGAAUCUUUUGACUAACGUGGAAUAUGGAAGUGGCAGCUGGAAAAAUGUAUUAGAAGCUGGAAAGUGAAAUAAAAUUUAGUGAUAAUUUUUUUAUUAGAAUGUAAAGAUUGUAGCUUGUAAGAUGUCAUAAAAUGUUCCAAAAGGGUAAGAAGUGCCCCAGGAAGCCAGAGAUGAUGUGAAUCCAUGGCUACAAGUCAUUACUUCCUUUCCCAGUGUAAUGCAGGUUCAAGAGGCCUGGGGGUAUCUGGAUAAGAAUGGAAGAUUGCAAAGGACCCCUGUGGCCUGAAGUAUGGUUCUGUAGCAUACUUCAGCUGUAGAAAAGGAGACCAGCAAAACUAUUUCUGUUCUAAAACCCUAUGAACUCCAAAAUCAUCCAGGGAAAAAAGAGUCACAAGAGCAAACAUUAUGCCUAGCAAGAACAUUAUCAGUUCACAGCACAAGUUCUCAAUCUUCAGUAGAGCCAAGGCAAAAAAAAAAAAAAAACCUAACUGAAAGCCAACCCCACGUUUUCCUUGGUAGUCCAGCCAACAGCUGCCUCAUGUAUGUAGAGACAAAAAACUAGUCAAGAGAAAGGUGGUUUAGGCUUUGUUUUGGUUGCAGAUGAAAAUUGGACCUACACUGACAACAACAAUUUGACCACCAUUCUGAAGAAUUUAAAUAGGGUUAUUUGGGUUUUCUCAAAACAUUUUGCCUCCUGGUUUGUUUGUCAGUGUAUGAUAGAGGCUGGACAAAAAAUGACAUGGUGGUUGGAAGUUUCUGGUUGGUUUUUGGGUGGUUUUAGAAAAAUGUUAGAAAGAACUGGAGGGCUAGAAAGGAGCACAUAGAACAAUGAUUUCUAUGGUGAAACUUCUAGUUUCUUCUGGAUUUCACAGAUUAUUGCUGUGGCUUAUUUUGCUUUCCUACUUCUUCCUCUUCACCCUAUCCCCUCCUUUACUUCCCCCUCAAAACAAGGAUGACUUUUCAGGUGGAUUAAUUCUCUUAUCUGCACUGCAGAAAUGCUGGUAAUCAGUGCAAAGGAAGCAUCUGGAAGAACUGGCUAUUGAGAAGGAAGCUAGAUAAAAUCAACUCUGCCUCUCAUUUGGGUUUCCAUUAUAUGCUGUGACAAUGUCUUUUGCAGGCAAAUAGAGGAACAAAUUCAUUUAUGUAUUUGUUUUAUCAGUUCUAAAUUCACUGCCUUUCAUUAUCAUUGCUUUCCCCUUAUUUCCAGAACCAGAAAACAGAAUCAGCCACCAUGCCAUCUUCUCAAUGCCACUGUCUGAAACACCUGCUCUUGUUAACCACAUAGGUCCUCAUUUUACUGGCUCCAGCUAUGUGGAAGUUUCUCAUGCUCAUAUUUAAAGCACAUUUAACAGUCCUGAAUUCCUGAAUUCUGACCCUAUGAAGAGUCUGAAGACACAUCUCAUUCAUUACACAUUUCUCAGUAUCAUCAGAGUGAAAUGAACUUCAUGUAUCUCACAGGUUCUCAUAAGAUUCAAAAUUACAAGCUGCUGUUUUUAUUUUCACUAUAAUCCACUAUAAUUUUUUAAAGAUAAAUUAGUUUCUAUUCCUUAUUUUUUAAAAACAGAAAACCCCAAACCUCUCCCAGUUUCAUUGUCAAUUUUUAAAGAUUCUUGUGCAUGGUUCAUUAGCUUGUGAGUCAUGAAUAAAUACCAUUUUUCUACUAACAUCUUCCUUCUCCUUCAGAAAUAUUCCUCAAAAGAUAUCCCUAGACAAAUGAGAGUAAGGCCCCAAUACAGCAAAUUUCAUGAUCCAUGACAAUAUUGUGCUACAAGGCAUGUAGUUUUACCACUAUGUCAAAAUAAAUAAUUCUCUAAAAUGCAAAAAAAAAAGUAAAAGCAAACUGCAGCAAUGAAGUUAUUUAAAAUACACUUCUAAAACACAUAUUUAUGAAGUGUAAAUUACUAGUUACUUUAAAGAAUUAAAAUAUUAAAGAAUUACAUCAGCAUUAAUAUCUUAUAAUGUGAAUAUAUGAAUUCUGGAGAUGAAAAGUAACAUGAAGAGUAUUUUGCUUUAGGCAAAUUAAGCAGAAUUGAAAUUGCAUAAACAGGGAAAACUAAAUGGUAGGCUAGAAAUUGUCUUGCAAUUUUAAAACAAAAAAAAUGGUUGUUUUAAACUACUUUGAAAUCAUUUUGAUUACCUGCUAUUGUUAAAAAUCAAGAUCUAAAAUUACUAUCACUAGAAAAGAAAAAAAAAAAGUUGAUUUAAAAUCAGAUUGAUUGAUAAUUUUUUUCCCCUCUCUGACUAAAAAGAAAACACUAUCAUGUUUUAAUAAGUGAUUUUUUUAAUCUCACAAUUGCUUCAUUCUUAAUGGGAAGAUUUUUUUAAAUAUAUGUUUUGAUAUAGUAGUAUUGGAAAACAGCACAUUUUUCCCCUUAUUUUGACCACAUGGUGUUCACCAGUGAAAAGCAAAACAGGUGGUUUUUCUUCUAAGCUGAUCCUAACAGCACGUUUUAGUGGUCAUUUAACCUUUAUUCAGUGACACACACAUUCUUCUGAUUGUUUUAACCAAUAAACAGUACUAUUUCCUUUCAAAAAAUGUAAAUAUCCCAGAAAAAAAUUAAUAAAACUGCUGAGUAUGUCAAGUGAGUUGACUCCUUAAAAUACACGGUACUGAAAAUUUAACCUAGCUGUAGCAACUUAUAUAGCAGGAAAUGAGCA